AUACUACUCCCUCCGUUUCGAAUUAUUUGUCUUAAAUUUGUCUAAUACGAAUAUAUCUAGCACUAAAAUGAGUCUAAAUACAUUCGUAUCUAGACAAAUCCAAGACAAGUAAUUUAGAACAGAGGAAGUAUUAA
rfam:Triticum aestivum genome assembly, contig: Triticum_aestivum_CS42_TGACv1_scaffold_197746_3AL